ensembl:lncRNA
CUGCUGAGCCCUCUCUCUUUUUGGAGAUCUUCACUGCUUUGUCUCACAUGCAGUCACUCCCGUUGCUGACCGACAGCUCCUCACCCCCAGUAAUUUCUGCACUGCAUUAAUUUCUCAUUAAUCUACAUUGUGAUUUAUGAGUCUGAAAUGAUGGAAGACGUCUAGAGGAGUGUUUCUCAUUUGGCCUGCUGCCUUCCCCUCCCCUGCCCCUUCACUUGCCUUCUUCAUGAGCAAAUGGGUCUCUGCUCCCACUCUGCCCUUCUGCAGAGCAUCAUCUCUCUGGAUCAUCACGGUGGGGAAAAGGAGGUUAAGCAUGGUGCUUCCUGGCUGCUUUCCUCAUUAACGAUUUGAGAAGCAGAUAAAUGCUCAGGAGAAACAGGGCUGCAUUCCAAAGACCUCUGGUAGCUCCUCCACGAGGCCUGUGGCUGUGCUCCAGUUGCUGUUGGAUUCAGGCCAAGGAGAUGGGGCCACAAGCCCACGGGUAGAUGACAUUUUGGAGUGUUUUUCUGUAAGGCUACUUUAGCCCAGCUCAAGGGAAAGGGGAAAAGAGAAGAUCUGCAGGCUCCCCAUACUUCUUUCAUGAGACUCUUAUAAUCCUACAUCAGAAUCAUUUUUUCCUUUACAUUUCAGGAGAAUUUUAAAAGAGAAUCAGUACCUAAAAGGGCCUGUAAGAAAGAAGGAGACAGGUUCUUUGCAGGGUCUGUGGGGAUAGAACAAGUGGAAGAGGUUUCAAACUUAAAGAGGGAGAUUUAGACUGGAUGUAAGAAAGAAGUUAUUUACAGUAAGGGUGGUGAGGCACUGACACAGGCUGCCCAGAGAGGUGGUGGGAGCUCCAUCCCAGGAGACACUCAAGGUCAGGCUGGAUGGGCUCUGAGCACCUGAUGGAGCUGUGGGUGUCCCUGAUCGCUGCAGGGGCAGUUGGACCAGAUGGCCUUUAUGGGUUCCUUCCAACUCAAAUGAUUCUAUGGUCAUCUUCUCUACUCCCCUUACUCAGGCCUGCAGAGACCUACCAGCCCUGUAGCCCAUGGCAGUAAGAAAGGAUGCCCAAUAUUGGGAAGUGCAAUCUUGUGACGGGCUGCGUCUAUGGGAUGUGGCACUGGGUUCAAGAAGUUAAAAAAGAGCAAAGGAAAAUAGAAAUUGAAACUCAAGGAAAGUUUUCCGCUAUAUUUGUCUGUUGUGUUUUCAGAGAGCUUGUUCAGGUCCUUCUGUGAUGCUGAGCACAAAAUCAUCGGUUGCUUUUCAAAGCCCCUAGAGCCUGUUUUCUCUCCUUUUGUAUCAUUUAUGUUAAUUGUCAUCUGUGACAAUUUCUUAAACGCCUUCUAUGCAUUUGGCAGCCUUUGUCCCAGUGUGAAAGGCAAAGUGCUCAAAGAAAGGUGUGUGUCUCUGCAAUUAACUCUGCUCCUAUGGCACCGCUGGAGACAAGUUUGGGGUUAGGUGGGAUUUGAAAAGAUUUAUUGGACUGGGACUAGGAAAUGAUCUUGUGGGUGAUGGAAACAGAUCCCAGCCCUGAUGGAGGGUCCCAGUGGUGAGUGUUCAGCCUGUCCUCUGUGUGCCUGAUCACCUGGCAUGGAGCUCAGGGGCUUUGCUUUGUGCACCACAGAGCUC